GGCCGGUUAGCUCAGUCGGUUGAGCGUGGUCCUGAUAACACCAAGGUCACAGGUUUGAUUCCUAUUCUGUCCC
rnacentral:tRNA from 1 species